rnacentral:rRNA from 1 species
UACGGGGGGGGCAAGCGUUGUUCGGAAUUACUGGGCGUAAAGGGCUCGUAGGUGGCCAACUAAGUCAGACGUGAAAUCCCUCGGCUUAACCGGGGAACUGCGUCUGAUACUGGAUGGCUUGAGUUUGGGAGAGGGACGCGGAAUUCCAGGUGUAGCGGUGAAAUGCGUAGAUAUCUGGAGGAACACCGGUGGCGAAGGCGGCGAUCUGGCCCAACACUGACACUCAGACCCGAAAGCGCGGGGAUCAAACAGG